AUUUUGAGAACCUUUGACUCCGUGACGUGUGAGCAGCAGUGCCGCGCAGGCCCCGCCCCCCGUGUUCAGCGAGCUGGUCGGACUGAGCGGGGACGGGAGGGCAGACAAAGCGAGCGCUGACCCAAUGAAUGGGGGGGAGAGCGGCGGCUGCGGCGGUGACGGCAUGCGGCGGAGACCCCCCGGCUGACCAGGUGCUGCAUUUGGACCAAUAUGACAGAUAACCAUUUAUGAUGUGCUUAUGCAGAGUCCUUUAGUCAAAUGGUUUCUUCAGAAUUCUCAGGAUGGCUGUAAUCGUACUGGUGUAGAAACUGUCAAUUUAUUCAUUACCCUGCCAAGAACAUUCGACCAAACUUGUAGGAGAUAUGUAUUGUUCACAGCAGCUAAGCAUUGAAGAAAUCUCACUCCGUAACACAGGAACUUUGCAUUUCUCCCCCUAGUUAAGUGUAUUGGAAUUUCAUAUGAGCAUUCUUCCUUUA